GGUCCGGUCGUAUAGCCAGGUCAAGUAUCCGGCCCUUUCGAGGCCGUGACCCGGGUUCAAAUCCCGGCCGGACCA
rnacentral:tRNA from 3 species